rnacentral:rRNA from 1 species
AUUGAACGCUGGCGGCCGGCUUUACACAUGCAAGUCGAGCGAGCGGCGGACGGGUGAGUAAUGUAUGGGAAACUGCCUGAUGGAGGGGGAUAACUCCUCGAAACGGUGGCUAAUACCGCAUACCAUCAGAUGUGCCCACAUGGGAUUAGCUAGUUGGUGGGGUAAUGGCUCACCUAGGCGACGAUCCCUAGCUGGUCUGAGAGGAUGACCAGCCACAAUGGACCUGAGACAAGGUCCAGACUCCUACGGGAGGAAGCAGUGGGUAAUUUUGCACAAUGGGGGAAAUCCUGAUGCAGCCAUGCCGCGUGUAUGAAGAAGGCCUUAGGGUUGUAAAGUACUGUCAGCAUAGAGGCGUUACCCGCAGAAGAAGCACCGGCUAACUACGUGCCAGCAGCCGCGGUAAUAC